UUGCUCCUCUGGGGAUAGGUGAAAAUCCUUACCGGCGGUAGAGCCCGCGAGCCGUUUUGGCAGAUCCGGUGUGAUUCCGGAGCCGACAGUUACAGUCUGGAUGGGAAGAGGGAAGG
rnacentral:ncRNA from 2 species